rnacentral:rRNA from 1 species
UGCAAUCGCCUUGUUAUUAAUUCUGAUGAUUUGGAGGUUAUUGAAACGAUGAAUAAUGACGGACCGUCAGCAGGAGCGCUGGCGGCAAUUUUUGAUGAUUGCUAUUUUUUGGCGUGUGAUUUUCCUACCUCUAGGUUUAAACAUUGUAAUAUGGAAGCCAAUAAGGUUGCACACGAGCUUGCUAGGUUGGCUAGAUUUUCUUCUAAUGUUGAUUGGUUUGAGGAGCCUAUGAUUGAGAUUGUACCUUUCCUCACAAACGUUGUAUCUAUUAUUUUGGUUGAAUAA